AACGUAGGUGGCAAGCGUUAUCCGGAUUCACUGGGCGUAAAGCGCACGCAGGCGGCUCGGUAGGUAGGGCAUGAAAUCUCCUGGCAUAACUAGGAGACGCUGUCCUAAACCCCCCGAGCUUGAGGAUGGGAGAGGGCAGUGGAAUUGCCGGUGUAGUGGUGAAAUGCGUAGAGAUCGGCAGGAACACCAGUGGCGUGAAGCGACUGCCUGGCCCAUACCUGACGCUCAGGUGCGAAAGCUAGGGGAGCGAACGGG
rnacentral:rRNA from 1 species